AGUGAACGCUGGCGGUAGGCCUAACACAUGCAAGUCGAACGGCAGCACAGUAAGAGCUUGCUCUUACGGGUGGCGAGUGGCGGACGGGUGAGGAAUACAUCGGAAUCUACUUUUUCGUGGGGGAUAACGUAGGGAAACUUACGCUAAUACCGCAUACGACCUACGGGUGAAAGCAGGGGAUCUUCGGACCUUGCGCGAUUGAAUGAGCCGAUGUCGGAUUAGCUAGUUGGCGGGGUAAAGGCCCACCAAGGCGACGAUCCGUAGCUGGUCUGAGAGGAUGAUCAGCCACACUGGAACUGAGACACGGUCCAGACUCCUACGGGAGGCAGCAGUGGGGAAUAUUGGACAAUGGGCGCAAGCCUGAUCCAGCCAUACCACGUGGGUGAAGAAGGCCUUCGGGUUGUAAAGCCCUUUUGUUGGGAAAGAAAAGCAGCAGGUUAAUACCCCGCUGUUCUGACGGUACCUAAAGAAUAAGCACCGGCUAACUUCGUG
rnacentral:rRNA from 1 species